rnacentral:rRNA from 1 species
AUGAUGAAGCUGGGGUAUUCUCGGUUUCUUCUUUCUUGCCGUGCUCUUAUCUGCCUUUCGGCGAUUUGGGUGAUGGCCUCGGCCGAUGUACCGGCAGGCCAGCGUCCCGGCUGCCGGACGAAGUGCGGCGAUGUCGACAUUCCAUUCCCGUUCGGCAUCGGCGAGGAGUGCGCGUUCAAGUUCAACCCCGGUGUUGAUACCAGCGACACUGGCUUAGAUAUCAGCGGCUUUAAUAUCGACUGCAUGACCAUCGCUGGUGGCGUCGAGAAGCCUUUUGUAAGUACUCCAUGGUUGGAAGAUAUGAUCGAGGUGACUAAUAUCUCUUUGCCUGACGGCAAGGCCUGGAUGAAGGCCACGACGAUCUCGUCUCAGUGCUAUGACCCAUCCACCCGCAGUAUAACCGAGCGAAAUGGAGAGGCGGCCUUCUUCUUGACACCUUUCUGGAUAUCAGAAGUGGACAACGCAAUUAUCGUCAUCGGGUGUGAUACUCUCGGUUAUACGAGGAGCUCUUCUUAUGUGGUAGGCUGCUCGUCCUCUUGCGACAACUAUCGUGGCACGGAUACCCUGAAGAAUGCCACAUGCGAUGGUUUCGGCUGCUGUCAAGCCGAUGUCCCGAAAGGCGUACGGAAUUUAUGGCUAUUUCAACAAAAACUAUAACACCUCACAAACAUGGAGAGACGGCAGUCCUUGCAGCUACGUGGCACUUAUAGAAAAGGCGGCUUUCAGUUUCAAAACCAGCUAUGUCAACUCCACAGUAUUCAAUGAUACAUACAAAGCUGGAGUUCCUAUUGUCCUGAACUGGGAAAUAGAAUCGUCGAGUUGCGAGCAAGCUAAGAAGAAUAGUUCCUACGCCUGUGUUAGCAGCAACAGUGUGUGCGUGAAUUCCACCACCAACGCGCCAGGUUAUCGCUGCAAUUGCUCUGAUGGGUACAAAGGCAACCCUUACAUCAUAAACGGAUGCCAAGAUAUUGACGAGUGCCAUGAAAAUGCUACUCUCUGUGGCUCUGGAAUCUGCGAGAACACGUUAGGGCAUUACAGUUGUUCAUGCCACCCAGGAGAUUAUAUGACGAAUGACGGUUGUGUGCAAAAGCAUUUCCUUUUUCCGGCGAUGCCUGUUGUAGGUGCAAGUGUGGUACUUGUCGUCUUUGUGGUUGUUGUAUCAUGUGUCUGCUUGAUCCAGGAGAGAAACUACAAAACAUGAAAAAGGAAUACUUCCGACGACACGGUGGUCUGAUAUUAUUUGAUGAGAUGAGGUCAAAGCAAGGUAUUACAUUCAAAAUAUUCACGGAAGAAGAAUUGCAGCAAGCCACAAACAGAUUCGGUGAACAACGAGUACUGGGUCAAGGAGGCUAUGGGACCGUGUACAAGGGGUUUCUUAAGGGUAAUGUGGAAGUAGCGGUGAAGAGAUGCAAGACCAUCGACGAGCAACAAAAGAAAGAAUUCGGUAAAGAAAUGCUAAUCUUGUCCCAGGUCAACCAUAGAAAUAUAGUGAAGCUCCUCGGGUGUUGCCUUGAAGUGGAAGUCCCUAUGCUGGUAUAUGAGUUUGUCCCAAAUGGCACCCUCUUCCAGCUCAUACACGGUGACCAUGGUAUGCGUAUCUCCUUGGCUACUCGCUUGGGGAUCGCCCAUGAGUCCGCCGAGGCUCUUGCCUACCUUCACUCGUCGACUUCGACGCCGAUCCUCCACGGUGAUGUCAAGUCGUCCAACAUUCUUCUUGACAUGGACCACCAAGCUAAAGUUUCUGACUUUGGCGCCUCCAUCCUGGCACCAACUGAUAAGUCACAAUUCAUCACACUGGUACAUGGAACAUGCGGGUACCUUGACCCGGAGUACAUGCAAACCAAUCUGCUGACGGACAAGAGCGACGUGUACAGCUUUGGGGUUGUUUUGUUGGAGCUACUCACGGCCAAAUUGCCAUUUAAUUUCAAUCCGGAUGUCCCUGCCCACGAGAAGAGCCUAUCGAUGAUGUUUAUGUAUGCCAUGAAGGAGAAUAAGCUCGAGCAAAUCUUGGAUGUUGAGCUCAAGGACAGGGAUAACACAGAGAUUCUUGAAGAGAUCGCGGAGCUAGCGAUGCGUUGCUUAGAGAUGUGUGGUGACAACAGGCCAUCGAUGAAGGAAGUUGCGGAGAAGCUUGAUAGUCUGAGGAAGGUGCUGCAACAUCCAUGGGUGCAGCGGAACCCUGAAGAGAUGGAAUGCCUACUUGGGGAGCCCUCAUCGAUGGUCAGCUCGACAAUAACAAGUGUUGAAUAUUUCAGCAUCGAGAAGAAAGCUGUUAAUGGUCUGCAGUCAGGUCGUUAA